CAGCAGCCGCGGUAAUACAGAGGGUGCGAGCGUUAAUCGGAUUUACUGGGCGUAAAGCGUGCGUAGGCGGCUUCUUAAGUCGGAUGUGAAAUCCCUGAGCUUAACUUAGGAAUUGCAUUCGAUACUGGGAAGCUAGAGUAUGGGAGAGGAUGGUAGAAUUCCAGGUGUAGCGGUGAAAUGCGUAGAGAUCUGGAGGAAUACCGAUGGCGAAGGCAGCCAUCUGGCCUAAUACUGACGCUGAGGUACGAAAGCAUGGGGAGCAAACAGGAUUUGAUACCCGUGUAGUCCCUGUCUCUUAUAC
rnacentral:rRNA from 1 species